rnacentral:rRNA from 1 species
AUUGAACGCUGGCGGCAGGCCUAACACAUGCAAGUCGAACGAGUGGCGGACGGGUGAGUAAUGUCUGGGAAACUGCCCGAUGGAGGGGGAUAACUACUGGAAACGGUAGCUAAUAACGCAUACCAUCGGAUGUGCCCAGAGGGGAUGAGCUAGUAGGGGGGGUAACGGCUCACCUAGGCGACGUUCCCUAGCUGGUCUGAGAGGAUGACCAGCCACACUGGAACGGAUACACGGUCCAGCCUCCUACGGGGGGCAUCAGGGGGGAAUAUUGCACAAUGGGCGCAAGCCUGAUGCAGCCAUGCCGGGUGUAUGAAGAAGGCCUUCGGUUUGUAAAGUACUUUCAGCGAGGAGGCGUUACUCGCAGAAUAAGCACCGGCUAACUCCGUGCCAGCAGCGGCGGUAAUAC